CCAACAGGGAUUGCCUCAGUAACGGCGAGUGAAGCGGCAACAGCUCAAAUUUGAAAUCUGGCUCACGCCCGAGUUGUAAUUUGCAGAGGAUGCUUUGGGCGCGGCGCUUUCCAAGUCCCCUGGAACGGGGCGCCACAGAGGGUGAGAGCCCCGUCUGGUCGGCCGCCAAGCCUGUGUAAAGCUCCUUCGACGAGUCGAGUAGUUUGGGAAUGCUGCUCUAAAUGGGAGGUAGACCCCUUCUAAAGCUAAAUACCGGCCAGAGACCGAUAGCGCACAAGUAGAGUGAUCGAAAGAUGAAAAGCACUUUGAAAAGAGGGUUAAAAAGUACGUGAAAUUGUUGAAAGGGAAGCGCUUGUGACCAGACGUGUGUCGGGUGUUCAGCGGGCGUUCUCGCCCGUGUAUUCGCCCCGGCGCAGGCCAGCGUCGGUUCGCGCGGGGGGAUAAAGGCGUCAGGAACGUGGCUCUUUCGGGAGUGUUAUAGCCUGGCGCGUCAUGCCCCCGCCUGGACCGAGGUUCGCGCUCCGCAAGGACGCUGGCGUAAUGGUCCCCAGCGGCCCGUCUUGAAACACGGACCAAGGAGUCGAGGUUUUGCGCGAGUGUCUGGGUGUCAAACCCGCACGCGUAAUGAAAGUGAACGCAGGUGGGAGCUUCGGCGCACCACCGACCGAUCCUGAUGUUCUCGGAUGGAUUUGAGUACGAGCGUAGGGCCUCGGACCCGAAAGAUGGUGAACUAUACUUGGAUAGGGUGAAGCCAGAGGAAACUCUGGUGGAGGCUCGCAGCGGUUCUGACGUGCAAAUCGAUCGUCAAAUCUGAGUAUGGGGGCGAAAGACUAAUCGAACCAU
rnacentral:rRNA from 1 species